GACUGAGCCUCUCCCUGGGGUAACAGGCAGCAAGGAGGGUUUUAAGGAGGACUGUGUGACCAGUCUAGAUGUAAGUCUCAGAGGUAAAGAGGGGCUAUGAGGAAGAAGAGAAGCAUAAGGGAACAGUGGCUUCUGAGUUCACCGUACAAGUGCUCGCUCGGUGCCCCAGGGGAAUCCUGUGGCCAGCUGUGAAGGCAGGAAGAGGAAAAAUCAAGCAUGAAGCCAGCCCCCCAGGGCAGCAGCUGAUGCUGAGCAGAGAGUGACGGACCGCAGCGUACCUGGCCCUGACCCAGGCUCGACACUGCCGGCCACUCACAUCCACCUAUCCAUCCAUCACUCACGUAUACACCCAUUUCUCCCAACUGCUCCUUCUCUUUAAGGAGUUCUCUUUAUGUUAUUUUAGUUUUUUAAGACUGGGUCUCUCUAUGUAGCCUUGGCUCUCCUGGCAGUCUCCAUGCAGAGCAGUCUGGCCUCGAACUCACAGAGAUCUGCCUGCCUUUGCCAACCAAGUGCUGGGGUUAAGGGUGUGUGUCACCAUACCCAGACCAAAGAUUUCUCUUCCCCGUCCCCUGAGCCCCCAGCUCUGAAAGUCUUACACUUGCUAGGUAAUCAAUCAGACCACCACUGAGCUAAAGCCCCAACCCCAAGAUUUCUUUUUUUAUUUAAAAAAAUAUUAAUUUUA
rnacentral:lncRNA from 1 species